rnacentral:rRNA from 1 species
AUGUACGGAUUAACCCUGUGAAAGCAGGGCCACGCUCGCAAGAGUGGAACGUGCACAGGUGCUGCAUGGCUGUCGUCAGCUCGUGUCGUGAGAUGUCGCGUUAAGUCGCUAAACGAGCGAAACCCCUAUCUUUUAGUUGCCAGCGCGUCAUGGCGGGGACUCUAAAGAGACUGCCGGUGUCAAACCGGAGGAAGGCGGGGAUGACGUCAAGUCCUCAUGGCCUUUAUGCCCAGGGCUGCACACGUGCUACAAUGGGGCGUACAAAGCGCCGCGAAGUUGCGAAACCAAGCUAAUCGCAAAAAGCGUCCCCCAGUUCGGAUUGAAGGCUGCAAUUCGCCUUCAUGAAGCCGGAAUCGCUAGUAAUCGCCGAUCAGCAUUGCGGCGGUGAAUGUGUUCCUGAGCCUU